UGGAGAAGGCAGGCGCCACGGUGGGAAUGGAGCUCUGGGUGAGGACUCUGGUUCUUUGGAAGCUGUGAGGUGGAAGCCGGGGCUGGGGAAGAGGCCAUCUUUCCUCUCACUCCUAGGGCCUAGGGCCUUCUUGAGGGUGGAAAGGAGCCAGAGGAGAAGAAGCUCAGGGGUUGUUGGUGGAGCCAGAAGGGCCCAGAAUGCAUUUCCAGGAAAGUGGCAAAGAGGACAGUGGACACUGGAGACUGUCUCACAGGUUGGUUGGCAAGCAAUGGCAAUCUAGGAAUGCUGGUUUAGCUGGAGAAGGAUUUGGGGCAAGGAUGCAUAGAAUCCAAGGGCAGGAUUUCGAACCCAGCCUCCAGAAGGACAAAAUGGGAGAAUCUUGACGGGUCCAACUGUCAUGGGCUUGGCCUGGCUGCCCGUUCCUGUGGUUCAUCUGCAGACCUGGUCUCUCCGUUUGGUCAUUGUUGCUCACAGUCUCAAAAUAUCUUUGCCCAUGUGGCUACCUCAGGCUCUGCAGUUUGCAAUCUUCUAGAGAUGGAUGGACAUCCAGCUACCCAGAGACCCUGUGCCCCACCCCAGACUCCAGCUAGAGGUCAGCCCCGCCUGCCUGAGGGUUGGUACCUGAGUCUCGUGGGUGUGGCCAGGUGAGGUGGGCCCUGGGAGCAAUGAGGAGUCCCCAGUUCCUCAGCAGCUGUGAGGAGGUGGUUUUUGCUACCCGGGAUGUAAACUACAGAAACAAGGGAGCUGGGAAGCUGGGAGAUUGGGUAGAACCAGGCAUGGAGGGUUAGGGUCAGGGAAACUUCCAAGGAAGCUCAAAAAAAUGGACACCAUAGAGCUGGGUUGCACAUUUAAUUUAAGGCUCUUAUCACUAUGGGAUCACUGUGAGAGGGAGACAGUGUCUUCCCACUGUCUCUAGGUUAUGGGGGCGAGGGGCCCAUCCACUCGUGUUAGAAGUGGAGGUCUGAGUUAGACGUGCUGGCUCCACUGUUUCUGGGCUGGAUGGAAGAAGCUGAGGGAAAAGGCUAUUUUUGGGUGGAAAGGACUUGACCAGGUUUGUAGUUUUGGGAGUAAGUAAACCCAGGCUUGUGUUCUGAAGCUGAGUUUUUCUUUAAAUUUAAAAUUCUCCGUUGUCUAGUCUCCUUUCUACCUGAUUUUAUUUCUUUUAUCUUACUUCAGAAAAGGAAUCCAAUGUCCGACAAACCAGAUAUCUGCACCCAUAAGCUGUAUUUUGUCCACAUGAAGAAUAGUUUGGACUUAUAUGAAUUAGAAUUUCCCAUAAUGAUAACUUAUAAUCUCAUUGGUAUCAAUCAAUAUAGUAAAAAGAUCUGACUUCUUUAUGAAGCCGUUUUUGAACAAGAUAACUUCAAGAGAGAAACAGAGAAAGAGAAAGAGACAAGAGAGAGACAGAAUGAGGUUUAAGAACUAUACAAUUUUCAUAGCAAGAAAAGAAAAAACCCUAGGGAAUGUUCUAGAAGGGUGUAUGUGUGUAAAUCCAGAUCUUACCCUAGCCUUCUGACAUUAGAACCUCUGAGGGUAGGAUGUAACUGUCCCCUACAUCCAGGUGACUCCUAUGAGUGCCCAGGGUGUCUAGUGACAGAUAAUAGUUCACCCCAUCUCCGUGAAAGGCAUUAGAAUAUUUGCAGAUUGCUGACAGAAACCAACAUGGUGGAACCUGCUUUGUUUCCUGGGCCUUGGGCCCUGGGAGCUGGCAUCAAAGUGCCUCAUGGCUCAGAGCAGUUCUGUAGCUCUGUUGUGUCAGAGGAGCCACGCAGUGUCUUAGCAGGGCCAACUGUGCUGAUUCUACCUCUACGUGGUAUUCAUAAAGAUGGAGGUGGUGCUCACUGUCUUGGUUUUCUGGAACCUUCUCCAUUUUAGCUCUGACUGUCUUGCUUGACAGGAAACUCCUCAGUCCUGGGGAAACUGGGCCCCUGCUCACAGUGUACAGCAGCUCACUUAGGUAGUGCGUAUGUGGGAAAAGGCGCCAAACUGAGGGGCAGAGAAGCCCUGCCAACUGCCUUCACCACUGAGCCCGGCUGCACUCCCACGGCCUUCAGGGGCGUCUUUCCCAGGGGACCCCGCAUGGUUCCCUGUGCUGGGCUCCGCUGUCUCCUGGAGAAUGAAGUCUUUUCUCACACCCACACACGCAUAUUCACAAGGACAAAAAAAUCAGGUAUUGUUCAAACUUAUAGCUGGUUAUAUUCUAGGAAAUGGUGGUGUAAGUGAAAAAGAUAAAAAUUGGAUCAAUUUUCCCACAGAAACAGUACCAUGAUGAGGAACCCUGAAUAAGGGAAAGAGGUCUACAAAGUUCAGGUCUGGGCAUGAGUUUUUUUUCUAAAUUUCUUUAAUUAUUCCUUCUUUAAUUAAUCCCUGAGAAACCAGACCCCGAGUGUGAUUAACAGGAAAUUAAAUACCUCUCCUGUCAGAUCUCUUCAAGGGCACACACACACACCAGAGGAAAAGGUCCAGCCGGCCUCUAGAUGCCUGCGGGGUUAUUUAAUUUGCCAGAAAUGUGCUCUAAGUGAAAGGCUACUCAAAUGACAACAGUGGUUCUCAGCUUGGCACACACUGCAGUCACCCAGAGGAGCUGGCAGGCCCCCGAAGCCCGGAUCCCAUCCCUAGAGAUGUGCUCAUGGCUUGGACAUCAGGAAUUUUUUUCUCAUUUAACCAAGGAACUCACUAUGUAGCCCAGGCUGGCCUCGAACUCACAGCAAUCCUCCUGCCUCAGCCUCCUGCCUGCUAGGAUUGCAAACCUGCACCAACACGCCCAGCAGCAUGGUGUGUUAUACUGAAAAUUGUGAAUUGCAACGCACCGCAGCUCUCACAGCACGCAGCCUUCCGACUGCCCGGUUGCUGAGGUCCUACUCACUGGGAGGUGCGGUGUGAAGUCACGCUUGUUGUGAGUUGGCCAUGGUUUUCCCAGAGAGGAUUCUCUGUGGCCAUCCAGGACGUCCAUGUUCAAGAUCCAGUUAGCUGAAACAUAUUGGUUAAAUAAGGACCAUUGUCAACACUAUGGAAAUUGUAAACAUUUGGGAUUCAAAGUCAUUCUAAAACAAUACUAUGUCAACAAGCGUUUUGUGACUCCCUAAUAUGGAACUGUUUCUCUACCUUUGUGUCAUCUCUAGGACAUGCAUGGGUUCGCGGGUGAUGGUUUCAUGUCGCUCUUCAAGGCCUUUGCAUCCAAAUCGAUAUUCUUGCCAUGGAAAUGAGAGAAGUAAGAGACGGGGCAGACCAGGUCCUGAUGGGUUCAUGGCUGAAUUCUACAAGAAAUUUAGAGAAGAUUCGACACCAAUACUCCUUAAGCUCUUCAACGAAAUUGAAAAGGAAGUAAUCCAUCCCAAAUCAUUCCUGGAGGCAAGUAUUAUUCUGAUACCAAAACCAAAAAAACCAUAGGCCAGUCUCACUAAUGAGCAUUGAUGCAAAGAUUCUCAGUAAAAUACUGGCAAAUAGUAUGCAGCAAAUCAUCAAGAUUAUACAUCAUGACCAAGUGGGAUUCAUUCCAGGAAUGCAGGGAUGGUUUAACAUAUGCAAAUCAAUAAAUGUAAUACACCAAAUAAACAGAGCCCAAAACAAAAACCACAUGGUCGUCUCAAUAGAUGCAGAAAAAGCUUUCAAUAAGGUCCAACACAUGUUCAUGAUACAAAACCUUCAGAAACUUGGAAUAUACGGUAUUUACCUCAAUCUCCUAAAGGCCAUCUAUGACAAACCAACAGUCAACAUUAUACUAAAUGGACAAAAACUGAAAGCUUUCACUCUAAAAUCAGAAACAAGACAAGUAUGUCUACUAUCAUCACUCCUAUUCAAUAUAGUUCUGGAAACACUAGCCAGAGCAAUCAGACAAGAGAGAGAAAUAAAAGGAAUAAAGAUAGGAAAGGGAGAAUUUAAAAUAUAAGUAUUUGCAGAUGACAUGAUACUCUAUAUAGAAGACCCAAAAAACCCCAUUAAAAGAUUAGUAGAGGUAAAAAACAAAUUCAGCAGUGUAGCUGGAUACAAAGUCAAUGCUCAAAAAUCAAUAGCAUUCCUGUACACAAACAAAAACUCAUCCGAGAGAGAAAUUAUGGAAAUACCAUCCAUCACAAUAGCAUCUGAAAAAAUGAAAUACUUAGGAAUCAAACUAAGAAUGUGAAAGACCUAUAUGCUGAAAUUUGUACUACUCUAAAACAAGGAGAUUGAAGACAAUAUUAGAAAAUGGAAGGAUAUUCUUUCCUCUUGGCUAGAAAGAACCAACAUUGUGAAACUGGCCAUAGUCCCAAAACUCUUAUACAGAUUUAAUGCAGUCCCAAUCAAAAUACCAUUAUCAUACCUUACAGAUCUAGAGAAAACACUCCUAAAAUUUAUUUGGAAACAGAAGAAACCUAGAAUAGCAAAGGCAAUUCUGGGCAAUAAAGGUAAGACAGGAGGCAUCUCAAUUCCUGACUUGAAACUAUACUAUAAAGCUACUCUGAUAAAAUCAGCAUGGUACUGGCAAAGAAAUAGACCUGAGGAUCAAUGGAACAGAUUAGAAAAUGCAAACACAACUGCAAAGACACUCAGCCACCUGAUAUUUGAUAAAGGGGCUAAACAUGUUUAAUGGAAGAAGGAUAGCCCCUUUAAUAAAUGGUGUUGGAAAAUUGGCUCUCCACAUGCCAAAGAGUAAAACUAGAUCUAUGCCUAUCAAUGUGCACUAAGCUAAAGUCAAAAUAGAUCAAAGAUCUAAAUAUUAAAGCAGAAACACUAAAUCUACUGGAAGACAAGAUAGGUAGAAGUCUUGGAGACAUAGGCCUAGGCAGAGAAUUCAUGAACAAAAUGCAAAUUUCACAGGAAACAUUUUAAGGAAUCAACAACUUGGAUCUCUUAUUACUGAAAAUUUUUUCAAAAGAAAUCACCAACAAAGUGAAAAGAAAACCCACAGACUGGGGAAAAUUAGACCAGCAACCCCUCAGACAAAGGACUUAUAUCCAAAACAUAUAAAAAAUUAAAAAGCAUCAGACCCCCCAAAUUCAAAGACCUUCUCCAAAAAUGGGCAUCUGAGAUGAACACGCAGUUCUCAGAUGAAGAUAUACAAAUGGAGAACAAAUACAUGAAGAAAUGUUCACCAUCACUGGUCAUUCGAGAAAUGUAAAUUAAAACAACAUUGAGAUUUCAUCUCACUCCGGAAAGAACAGCUGCCAUCAAGAAAUCAACUGAUAAAUGUUGGCGAGCCUGCAGGGGGAAAAAGGAACACUGCUCCACUGUUGGUGGGAGCGCAGACUGGUGCAACCACUAUGGAAAUCAGUAUGGAGAAUUCUCAGAAGACUAGGAUUGGAAGUUCCAUUCAAUCCAGCUAUUCCCAUCCUGGGUAUAUUCCCAGAAAAACUGAAAAGAUCAUAUCACAGUGAUAUUAGGUGCACCCAUGUUCAUGGCAGCACAAUUUGUAAUAACUGAAUCUUGGAAACAACCAAGAUGCCCAUCAACCGCAGAGUGGAUGAAAAAGAUGUGGUUUUUUAAUACAAUGGAAUAUUGCUUAUCUAUAAAAAAUAAUGAUCUUGAAGCCUUCAUAGGUAAAGGGAGGCAACCGGAGACUAUCCUCAUGAGUGAAAUAAAUAAGAAUUAUAUUUAUAAAUAUCACAUUGUCUCUCUGGUGUAAAAGCAAUAAAAACUGUAGGAGUAAUAAGAUCCAA